rnacentral:rRNA from 1 species
CACGUAGGGCGCAAGCGUUGUCCGGAAUUAUUGGGCGUAAAGAGCUCGUAGGCGGUCUGUUGCGUCUGCUGUGAAAACUCGGGGCUUAACCCCGAGCCUGCAGUGGAUACGGGCAGACUAGAGGUAGGUAGGGGAGAAUGGAAUUCCCGGUGUAGCGGUGAAAUGCGUAGAGAUCAGGAAGAACAUCGGUGGCGAAGGCGCUCUGCUGGACCAUAACUGACACUCAGGGACGAAAGCUAGGGGAGCGAAUGGG